UUCUAAUCCAGACUUGAACCUGGAGCUGUUCAAACUUCAGUUGCAUAUGGGUAGGCUUUUGGAGAAGUAUACAUUUUUUUGGCACAGCUUUGGAAAUUUAACAGAUUCAAAUGCCCGUAGGUCUUUGAAGCUAGUAACCGAUUAUUAUGAGGCCAUCUGGUGGUGAAGUGUGUGCCAGGCAAGAGUGAAAUAGUCGGAAAAAGAGCCCAGCAUUUUCUUUUCUGAAGGUGCUUUUGUCCUCAUGAGGCAAAUUCUCAAGUCCUUUGAGAACUCAGACCAGCUCAUGUCUGUUCCUUGCAGGACACCCGCUCCACAUGUGCUGGGGAAACACUGCACUGCCAACCAUUUUCUCCUGCAAGUUUCUGGUAAGCAUACCUAAUUUGGGGGCAGCUGUUGCCCUGCCCAACCCACUGCACCUAAUUCUAGAGAGGUGUCCAAAAACACUGAGCUUGUGGGGCUCCCCAGCUGCCCAGCUGGACAUAGUGAGGUGGGCUGCUAGGCUCUGCUUUGCAGCGUGGCAUGGCUGGGCAGCCCAACCGCGGCCGUUCUGCUCCACCCAUUGAGGUCCUGCCUGAGAGCCAGGGAGAGAAGAUGGAAAGGUGUAGGGAAAGUGAGAUAAAUGAGCAAAAACUGGGUUGAAGACUUCAGCAGUUGGUUCCCCAAUUGUUAAUUUUACUAAUCAUCUCGGCUGAUGGAACCCUGAGGCAGGACGGCUCUCCUCAGUGCCUGCAGUCACAGCACGCUGCACUUCAGGCAGCGGGAGUUCAGCGGGGAAGCAGCGGCAAAGCGGGGCGGUAUCCGGAGAAACUCAUUCAGAGGAGAGCGGGGCACACCAGCAGCCCGGGGCUUGGGAGAGCCUCUUUAGCACGGCUCCGCAGCAAAGCGCUGACAGACAGACACGCAG